AUGAACGCUGGCGGCGUGCUUAACACAUGCAAGUCGAACGAAGCACUUUAUUAUGAUUUCUUCGGAAUGACGAUUUAGUGACUGAGUGGCGGACGGGUGAGUAACGCGUGGGUAACCUGCCUUAUACAGGGGGAUAACAGUUAGAAAUGACUGCUAAUACCGCAUAAGCGCACAGGAUUGCAUGAUCUAGUGUGAAAAACUCCGGGUGGUAAAGGAUGGGGAUGCGUUCCAUUAGGUUGUUGGUGAGGUAACGGCUCACCAAGCCUUCGAUGGAUAGGGGUUCUGAGAGGAAGGUCCCCCACAUUGGAACUGAGACACGGUCCAAACUCCUACGGGAGGCAGCAGUGAGGAAUAUUGGUCAAUGGGCGCAGGCCUGAACCAGCCAAGUAGCGUGAAGGAUGACUGCCCUAUGGGUUGUAAACUUCUUUUAUAUGGGAAUAAAGUUUUCCACGUGUGGAAUUUUGUAUGUACCAUAUGAAUAAGGAUCGGCUAACUCCGUG
rnacentral:rRNA from 1 species